GCCCUUUGUGCCACAGGUUUACAAGAUCCUGGUGCUCGGGAUUCAAGGUGACAGCUGGAUAAUCUUUAGAAGAUACACAGACUUCUGCAGGCUCCAAGACAAGGAUCCACUUAGUUCUGCCUCCAAAACGUUGGGUAAAAGACAACUAUGACGAGGAGUUUCUGAAUAAGAGGCAGACUGGUUUGAGAGUUUUCUGCAGAACCUGACGUACCACAAAGAGAUCAGCAGAAGUGCCACAUCCAUCCAUCCAUUUUUUGAGCCGCUUCUCCUCACUAAGGUCGCGGGUGUGCUGAGCCUAUUCCAGCUAUCUUCGGGCAGGAGGCGGGGUACACCCUGAACUGGUUGCCAGCCAAUCGCAGGGCACAUACAAACAAACAACCAUUUGCACUCACAUUCACACCUACGGGCAAUUUAGUCAAUUAACCUACCAUGCAUGUUUUUGGGAUGUGGGAGGAAACCGGAGUGCCUGGAGAAAACCCACGCAGGCACGGGGAGAAUAUGCAAACUCCACACAGGCGGGACCGGGGAUUGAACCCUGCUAGUGCCACAUCCAGUGUUUCUGUCAGGCAGUUUCUGGGUAUGACUGAACCACCGGGCCCAUUCGACAGUCUGGAAGAAAGCAGGGCUUUCUGUGCCACUCUGGAGGAGACUAACGAUCAUCUACAGAGGGAACUGAUGGAAAAGCAGAGAGAAGUUGACCAUUUGAGGAAGAUCCUGAAUAAGAGGAAG